rnacentral:rRNA from 1 species
AACGAACGCUGGCGGCAUGCCUAACACAUGCAAGUCGAACGAGACCUUCGGGUCUAGUGGCGCACGGGUGCGUAACGCGUGGGAACCUGCCCUUAGGUUCGUAAUAACUCCCCGAAAGGGGUGCUAAUACCGGCUAAUGUCUUCGGACCAAAGAUUUAUCGCCUUUGGAUGGGCCCGCGUUGGAUUAGCUAGUUGGUAGGGUAAAAGCCUACCAAGGCGACGAUCCAUAGCUGGUCUGAGAGGAUGAUCAGCCACACUGGGACUGAGACACGGCCCAGACUCCUACGGGAGGCAGCAGUGGGGAAUAUUGGACAAUGGGCGAAAGCCUGAUCCAGCAAGGCCGCGUGAGUGAUGAAGGCCUUAGGGUUGUAAAGCUCUUUUACCCGGGAGGAUAAUGACAGUACCGGGAGAAUAAGCUCCGGCUAACUCCGUG